rnacentral:rRNA from 1 species
UACCAGCUUCUCGAGUGGUGGGGGCGAUUAUUGGGCCUAAAGCGUCCGUAGCCCGCUUGUUAAGUCCCUCGUCAAAUCCGACGAUUCAAUCGCCGGGCCGCGGGGGAUACUGUCAAGCUAGGGGGCGGAAGAGGCUAGCGGUAUUCUUAGGGUAGGGGUGAAAUCCUAUAAUCCUAGGAGGACCACCAGUGGCGAAGGCGGCUAGCUAGAACGCGCCCGACGGUGAGGGACGAAAGCUGGGGGAGCAAAC